rnacentral:rRNA from 1 species
AACGAACGUUGGCGGCGUGCCUAACACAUGCAGGUCGUGCGAGAAAGUUCCUUCGGGAGCGAGUAAAGCGGCGCACGGGUGAGUAACACGUAGGUAACCUGCCCCCCAGUCUGGAACAACUAGAGGAAACUCUAGCUAAUGCCGGAUGAGACCACGAUCCCUUCGGGGGUUGCGGCCAAAGAUGGCCUCUACUUGUAAGCUAUCGCUGAGGGAUGGGCCUGCGGGCCAUUAGCUUGUUGGUGAGGUAACGGCUCACCAAGGCUGUGAUGGCUAGCUGGUCUGAGAGGAUGACCAGCCACACUGGGACUGAGACACGGCCCAGACUCCUACGGGAGGCAGCAGUGGGGAAUAUUGCGCAAUGGGCGAAAGCCUGACGCAGCGACGCCGCGUGGGUGAUGAAGGCCU